UACGUAGGGUGCGAGCGUUAAUCGGAAUUACUGGGCGUAAAGCGUGCGCAGGCGGUUUUGUAAGCCAGAUGUGAAAUCCCCGGGCUUAACCUGGGAAUGGCAUUUGGGACUGCAAGGCUGGAGUGUGGCAGAGGAGACUGGAAUUCCUGGUGUAGCAGUGAAAUGCGUAGAUAUCAGGAGGAAUACCGAUGGCGAAGGCAGGUCGCUGGGCUGACACUGACGCUCAUGCACGAAAGCGUGGGGAGCAAACAGG
rnacentral:rRNA from 1 species